GGGAACGUACCCUUCGGUUCGGAAUAACGCUGGGAAACUAGCGCUAAUACCGGAUACGCCCUUAUGGGGAAAGGUUUACUGCCGAAGGAUCGGCCCGCGUCUGAUUAGCUAGUUGGUGGGGUAAUGGCCUACCAAGGCGACGAUCAGUAGCUGGUCUGAGAGGAUGAUCAGCCACACUGGGACUGAGACACGGCCCAGACUCCUACGGGAGGCAGCAGUGGGGAAUAUUGGACAAUGGGCGCAAGCCUGAUCCAGCCAUGCCGCGUGAGUGAUGAAGGCCUUAGGGUUGUAAAGCUCUUUUGUCCGGGACGAUAAUGACGGUACCGGAAGAAUAAGCCCCGGCUAACUUCGUGCCAGCAGCCGCGGUAAUACGAAGGGGGCUAGCGUUGCUCGGAAUCACUGGGCGUAAAGGGCGCGUAGGCGGCCAUUCAAGUCGGGGGUGAAAGCCUGUGGCUCAACCACGGAAUUGCCUUCGAUACUGUUUGGCUUGAGUAUGGCAGAGGUUAGUGGAACUGCGAGU
rnacentral:rRNA from 1 species